UACGGGGGGGGCAAGCGUUGUUCGGAAUUACUGGGCGUAAAGGGUUUGUAGGUGGCUUGCUAAGUCAGACGUGAAAUCCCUCAGCUUAACUGGGGAACUGCGUCUGAGACUGGCGAGCUUGAGUGCAGGAGAGGAACGCGGAAUUCCAGGUGUAGCGGUGAAAUGCGUAGAUAUCUGGAGGAACACCGGUGGCGAAGGCGGCGUUCUGGACUGCAACUGACACUGAGGAGCGAAAGCAUUGGGAGCGAACAGG
rnacentral:rRNA from 1 species